rnacentral:rRNA from 1 species
UGCCAGCCGCCGCGGUAAUACGGAUGGUGCGAGCGUUAAUCGGAAUUACUGGGCGUAAAGCGCGCGUAGGCGGUUUUGUAAGUCAGAUGUGAAAGCCCAGGGCUCAACCUUGGAACUGCAUUUGAUACUGCAUGACUAGAGUGCGAUAGAGGGGGGUAGAAUUUCAGGUGUAGCGGUGAAAUGCGUAGAGAUCUGAAGGAAUACCAGUGGCGAAGGCGGCCCCCUGGACCAAUACUGACGCUGAGAUGCGAAAGCGUGGGGAGCGAACAGGAUUAGAUA